AGUGAACGCUGGCGGCGUGCUUAACACAUGCAAGUCGAACGAGAACGGGUCUAGCUUGCUAGACUGUCAGCUAAGUGGCGGACGGGUGAGUAAUGUAUAGUUAAUCUGCCCUUUAGAGGGGGAUAACAGUUGGAAACGACUGCUAAUACCCCAUACUCCUUUUAUCUUAAUGAUAAUUGGGAAAUGUUUUUUCGCUAAAGGAUGAGACUAUAUGGUAUCAGCUAGUUGGUGAGGUAAUGGCUCACCAAGGCAAUGACACCUAGCUGGUCUGAGAGGAUGAUCAGCCACACUGGAACUGAGACACGGUCCAGACUCCUACGGGAGGCAGCAGUGGGGAAUAUUGCACAAUGGAGGAAACUCUGAUGCAGCAACGCCGCGUGGAG
rnacentral:rRNA from 1 species